AACGAACGCUGGCGGCGUGCCUAACACAUGCAAGUCGAACGAAAAGUUCGGGUCUUUGGGCGCACGGCGGCGGAACGCGAGGGAACCUGCACUUGGGUUCGGCAUAACUAUCCGACAGGGGUGCUAAUACGGGAUAGUGUCUUCGGACCAAAGAUUUAUCGCCUUUGGAUGGGCCCUCGUUGGAUUAGGUGGUUGGUAGGGUAAAAGCCUACCACGGCGACGAUCCAUAGCUGGUCUGUGAGGAUGAUUAGCAACUCCGGGACUGAGACACGGCCCAGACUCCUCCGCAAGGCAGCAGUGGCGAACAGAGCACAGUGGCGUGAGGCCUGAACCAGCACUGACGCGUGAGUUGUGAAGUCCUUAGGGUUGUAAAGCUCUUUUACCCGGGCUGAUAUUGACGGUACCGGGUGAAUAAGCUCCGGCUAACUCCGUG
rnacentral:rRNA from 1 species